UACGUAGGUGGCAAGCGUUGUCCGGAUUUAUUGGGUUUAAAGGGUGCGUAGGUGGUCUAUUAAGUCAGUGCUGAAAUAUCCCGGCUUAACCGGGAGGGUGGCAUUGAUACUGUGGGACUUGAGUAAAGUUGAGGUUGGCGGAAUUGACGGUGUAGCGGUGAAAUGCUUAGAUAUCGUCAAGAACACCUAUUGCGAAGGCAGCUAACUAAGCUUUAACUGACGCUGAGGCACGAAAGUGUGGGGAUCAAACAGG
rnacentral:rRNA from 1 species